CAUGCCAUAAAUAUAGGGGAAAUAUUUUAGGGAAAUAAUUUUUCUAUGUGUCUCAAAGCAAGUAUGUUGCUGCUUUUUCUUUCUGUGUUAUAAUUCUGGUAUUCAGAUGAUCAGGUUGUAUCCAAUCCGGACACUGAGAAAUGUGUGAACCUGCUUUUUUAUGGAAGUGUGUAGAUAGUAUUUUAACUUUCACUGUUGAUUGGGAAUAGAGGUUUUUUUUUUUUUUUUGGAAUGAAGGCAGAUAAAGAACAUAAUUUAGGCAUAAGUAAGAUAGGCAAGAAUUUUUUUAAUUGUAGCCAUGACACUGAAAAUUAAAAGAGAGAAAAUUUUUAAAAAUUGAGACACAGAGAUUAACAACUUGAAUCAAUGGAAAUAACAUUUGACAUGAACAUAUAUAGGUGUCUGUUUUCUCUCAUUUGCUGCUGAGAUGUCAUUUUAUUCAAUGCAUUGGAAUGUCAGCUUGAGGGCUUUAAAAUAUAGGUAACCGGCUAGAAUAACAGUGAUAACAGUAACUGUAACACUAUAGGUUUUUUUGAAGACUUCCUCAGGAUUUUGAAGAAUUUAAAAGCUAACAACAAAAAAUCAAUUUAUGGAUAUAGAGGGCAGUUCUAUAAGUCACUAUGCUCACCUGGGAGCAUGGAUUUACUUGUAGAAAUUUUAAAAAGAUCAUCUAAAGGGAUAGGAGAGAUUAGGUGAUAAAAUGGAAAAUUUCUCAGAUUACAUAGGUCUCCUUUAUGAUCUCUCUUUUUUAUUCUUUUAUAGAUAUAACUGAGGGUCACCUUGUGGUAGGAAAAGCAGGAAUAUCAUUGGGCCUCAGAUUUGCUUAGAAAGGUAGAUAAAGCUCUUCUCUAUUGUCAAGUAAAUGAGAAUGCACUGGGACCUGUUAAUUCCAGUCCAUUAGAAUAUUUUCUGAUGGUUCUUGUUGCUUAUUUUGCUUCUUUACGUGCCAGGUCCAUUUGAGAGCAGUGGUCAUUCACGAUAAUUCCUCCCUCCCUCAGUCUUGCUCAUGAAAACUGAUUUAUCUUUCAUAUUUUUUAAAUGUUCUGUGAGUUGAUUGAUGGUUAGGUGAGCUAAUUAAUGAAAAGCCACAUUUUUAUGAUACAAUGUAAUUUUACCUUCAGUAUAAUUUCUGGGUGCUAUAUCUGUACCAGUAGCUUUUCAGGUAUCUCUUUAAAAAAUUAACAGUUGAAAUGAGAUGAUGUCUGGGAUUUGCUUUAAAAUACUCAGUGGGAGGGAGUUCCCAUUGUGGUUCAGCAGGCUGUAAUCCAACUAGUACAUGAGGCUGCAGGUUUGAUUCCUGGCCUUGCUCAGUGGGUUAACGAUCUCGUGUUGUUGUGGCUGCAGCGAAGGCCUGCAGCUGCAUCUCUGAUUCAACCCCUAGCCUGGGAAUUUCCAUGUGCCGCAUAUGUGGCCCUAAAAAGCAAAAACAAACAAACAAACAACAACAAAACCCAAACCAAAAAAUACUCAGGGGGAUAAAGGGGCAGAUAGAUAAGAUUAGAAAAGUAGUAAGUACUUGUUAAUAGUAAGUACUAAGCAAUGACUACUUGAGCUUUAUUAUACUAGUCUAUCUACUUUGGAAUAUGUGUAAACUUUCCUUCCUGCAUUUCCUAGUUAGAAUUCUUCCAUAUUUUUUUUCUUAUUAACUAUUUGGUUACCUUGAAAUAUGACUCAUAUGAGAGAGAACAAAUAUUUGAUUUCUUUCCUUUAUGUAUCAGUUUUCAGAGAACUGCUUUGUUUUUUAUGUAAUCUUUUUGGUGAGGAGUGGAUUUUUGUUUCUUUUUGUUAGUAUUAUUACUUGAUUUUAAAAAAUAUAUUUGAUAUCUUUCAAUCCAUUGCAAUUAUAAUAUAUUUUGAUGCUUAAAUUUUCCCAUCUUUGGCCAGUGGAAGUCUCUUCAAAUUGGCUCCUGUGUCCUUUUGACAGGGUCACAUUAGUCUUUGGUGGCUUUCUUGUCUUUGGUCACAAUGAGCAGCUCCAAGUCAUCUUGUGCAUUUCCCGUCCAAGUCCUAGACUCUGUUCCCUCUCCAAGAGCUCAGGGCUUAUUCCCCUAAGCCAUGGAGGUAUCUGCCUGUUUUAACUAUGUGGAGGGACACUGUGAAGUAAGGUCGCAUUGUGAUGAUACGGGCUAGCAGAAAUGGGAAUGUUUCCUUGGAGGAGCUGCUGCCAGACAUCAUUGUUCAUUCCCGUGGGUGGCCUGGGCUUCUCACAGAUAUCACUUAUUCUUACAGUGAGCCCAUGCCAGCCAGCUAGCUUUUUUAACCUGUUCCAGACUUAUUUUGGCUUGCAAACAUGGAUCCUGCUGGCUUCUCUAUGUGUUAGUUUCAGUGGCUCAAUCUUUGCCCUUCCAAUCUUUCUAGUGCCCAACCUCAUCCAUGGAGUAAUUGGCCUCUGAGUUAUAGUUGGCCCACAUUCUUCCACUCAGUGUCUAAGUUAGAAAGUCAGAAUCAAACAUUGGCAUCAUAAUCUUCAUCAACUAACUUGUCUUGAUAACAUUUUUAGGCUCAAUAGUGAUUACUAGAAUAGGAGUUAACCAAGUAGUGCACAUUUCUAAUCAAGGGCUUUGCACACACAAUCUCAUUGUCUCACUUUAUCCUCACCACCAAACUGUGAAGUGCAUGUUACUCUCCCUAUUUUACAGGUGAGCACACUGAGGCCAAAGGAGGUCAGGUUACUCAUUUAAGGAGCUGGGAAUCCCACAGAAGACUCUGAGGAGCCAAAGCUGACAACUUCAACCACCAUUUAAUGUUUCCUCUAUUGCUCAGGAAUGCCAGAUACAAAGAGAUAAGACAUAGGUGUUUUUCUCAAGGAGUUUAUAACCCUAACUGAGAAAGAUAGGAUCUUCACAGGAAAAAAAAAAAAUCAACAUGAAGAGGCAUAUGACUAGAGACAUAAUUGUUUCCCUUCCGAUCCACUUACCCAGUGCUGUCAGAUUAAUUUUACUAACACGUUUUUGCUCUCAUUACCCCCCUGCUUAAAACUUCAGAGGUUCCCCACUGCCUUCAGGAUAAAGUCCAACUUGCUUGCUUGGCAUUUCAGGGCUUCCACAAUUUGGCCCUUACCUAUCUUCUCAUGUGUGAAAUUCCACUGCAAAGCUGGCUUGUGAACUGGGUUUCUAAGCCAAAGGACACGUCUGGUGCUCUAUGCUUUUGUGUCCUAGAAAUAUUGUCAUAUAAGGGCAGCCAAGUUUUACUUAGUUCCACCUUUGAAAAGAUGGUCCAUAAAAGAUUUAAAGUCAGUUAUCACUCUGACCCCUUCUCUGUUAGGACUCUCCAUUGUAGUCAGGCAUGUCUCAUUCUCCAAAUAUAUCUUAACAAUUUCUGCCUCUGGGCCUUUGCUCUUGUUACAAUCUUGUCUUGAUGCCUUCCUUUUUUCCUGACCUGCCUUUCUUCAAGAAUGCCAUCUUGGAGCCUCUCUGGAUUUCUUCAGGCUCUUGUUUAAUAGGAAGUCAUUUGAAAUUCCUCAGAUCUUAUUAUCUGUAUCAAUUACCAUAUAUAGUCUUAGAUUACCACUUACACAUAUUUAAAAUUGUACUUGGUCUUUUUCUAAUUAUGAGAGUAACAAAUGCUCAAAGCAAAAUCUUGGGGAUGUGCCAGGCACAAUGGGAGAAAAUGAGUUACUGAUAAUCUCACAACCCAAAGAUAACGACUGCUAAUAUUCUGUUGUGUGUGUACAUACACAUUACAGCCUAUAUAACAACAAUGGCACCAUUCUUCCUAUGAUUUCAUAAGUUGUUUUUUCUCUUAGUAAAAUUUCUCUUGUCGAUAGAAUUCAUACACAUAGAUUUUAAAUGUCUUCACUGUACCUCAUCAUAUAAAUGUUCCCCUGCUUAGUUAUUCAACUUUAUACUACUAGAUAUUUAUUUUGUUUUUCUGUUAUACGUUGCCAUAGGGAGGAGUGCCCCUUGUGACUAAGCAGUAACGAACCCGUGGCCUCGCUCAGCGGGUUAAGGAUCUGGCAUUGCUGUGGCUGUGGUGUAGACCAGCAGUUGCAGCUCCCAUUCCAUCCCUAGCCUGGGAACUUGUGUAAGAUGCAACUGAGGCUCUAGAAAGCAAAAAUAAAAAAUAAAAAAGUUGCAAUAAAUAUACUUUGGACUUAGCUUUUUAAUGUGGAGGAACUCAAAAUAUUUGUCUAAAGGUAGAUAUACCUGCUUCCGAACCACUUCCGUCUCUAUUCCCUUGGACUUAUAUAUAACGUUUCUAAGUUUACGUUUCCUCACCUUUGAAAUAUUUGUUAAAUCACUGCUAUAUAUCACAGUCUUGUUGUAAGAUAAAUGGCACAUGGUAAGUCAGUAAGAAAUGUGGGUUACUAUUUUUAUUUUCUGGCCUCACAUCUUUUCACCUUUGACUAGAUCAUAAAUCCCUUAAGGGAGAGACUUGGUCUCUUGGAGCUUGUGUUUCUGGUCUUCAUGUCUGUCCCACUGUAUUAUAAGUAAUUGGUGGUUAAUAGCUAUUUGUUAAUGAUCAUUAUAAUGAUGCCUUCAUAGUUACUGUAGCUCACUGCGUAGGAAGUUACUCAGCAAUGCAAAUCUAAAACUUUCCUUGUGACUUAAAAACUUUAAACUUGUCUCUUUUCAUCCAAAUGCUCAUUUUUGUGUGCUAACCUUAGUUUUCUAACAUUCUAAUUCCCCCUGUAUUUUUUCCAUUUCAGUCAUUGCCAUUUUUGUUGAUUGGCCCUUCUAGUGGUAGAUUGUGUUCUAAUAGAAGGAUUUGGGAGGAUCUAUGCUACCCUCAUGGGAUGGUAUUUCUAGGGCACUAAUGCAUGGCACUGGGAAACACAUCUUUGGCUGAGCUAGCCAGUUCAAAAGCCAGCUUCUCAGCAGAAUUUCACACAUGCAAAUGAACCAUUGUGAUCCCGGUCAUGAAAAUUCAUGGAAUGGUGGCUAGUUCAGUGUGGACGACCUGUCAAUUUGGCAGCCAAUCAUUUAGUUAAACAUCCAAAUUACUGGACAGUUCCUCAGACUAAAGCUAGUCUUCCUGCUUGUUACCGAGUUCUAUGUAAUCCUAUUAAAAGCAAAGACAACGUUCUCUUUGAUUUGUGACCGCUAAUGGUGUGGGAGCACAGGACAUGUGUCUGGCACAGUUGAAAAGUAGGCAUUGUGAAAAUGGACUGUUUGUAUUACUACUGGAUUUAUUCUUAAUACUAAAUAUCUUCCAUGAGUGACAUGCAAAAUAUCUUAAUUUCACCCGUGCCUCUAUUUACUAUUUUCAUUAUUUAUAAAUGGGAAUUCCUCUAAGGGUUGCAUCACCAUUUUUUGGUUGUCCUAAUUGAGUUUGUGUAUUUCACUCCUUGGACCAGCCUUUCCUGUCAGGCAAUCAGAAAGAAAGCCAUGGAGACUUCUUGAGGCCUGGUAUAGGCCUUGGGAUUUGAUUGAAAGAGACCCAUUUGUAGUUUAAUUUUGACAUAAGAUUGUAGUCUUGCUGUCCUGGGAAGUGAACCCAGAACAGUAAUUCCUAGGCAUGGAACUUUCUGAGAAAUUUUGUGAUGAAAACUCUAGAUUUUAAUUUUAGAAAAGUGCACAAACAAUUAAGCAUGAAAGUUUUGAGAUUUCAUUUACCUGCCAAAGCCCAGGGAUCCAGGGAAACAGGAAUUUUAGGUUAAAAGUCCUGCUGUGAGUGUGAGGGUGGGGAGCAGGAAUAAAGAGAGACAAGAGAA
ensembl:lncRNA